rnacentral:rRNA from 1 species
UGGGGAAUAUUGCGCAAUGGGGGCAACCCUGACGCAGCCAUGCCGCGUGAAUGAAGAAGGCCUUCGGGUUGUAAAGUUCUUUCGGUAGCGAGGAAGGCAUUUAGUUUAAUAGACUAGGUGAUUGACGUUAACUACAGAAGAAGCACCGGCUAACUCCGUGCCAGCAGCCGCGGUAAUACGGAGGGUGCGAGCGUUAAUCGGAAUAACUGGGCGUAAAGGGCACGCAGGCGGUGACUUAAGUGAGGUGUGAAAGCCCCGGGCUUAACCUGGGAAUUGCAUUUCAUACUGGGUCGCUAGAGUACUUUAGGGAGGGGUAGAAUUCCACGUGUAGCGGUGAAAUGCGUAGAGAUGUGGAGGAAUACCGAAGGCGAAGGCAGCCCCUUGGGAAUGUACUGACGCUCAUGUGCGAAAGCGUGGGGAGCAAACAGGAUUAGAUACCCUGGUAGUCCACGCUGUAAACGAUGUCGAUUUGGGGGUUGAACUUUAGGUUUGGCGCCCGUAGCUAACGUGAUAAAUCGACCGCCUGGGGAGUACGGCCGCAAGGUUA